UUGUUAUUUUUUUAAUCAAAUUGCCUCCUCGUGUCGUGUUUUUUUAUAUCUGUUUCACCUGGACUCUUAAUUAUUGAUGAUACAAGCGUGCGCGCUUCAUAGCCGAUCUAUAUGCGGACAAAAACGCUUUCUCUACCUCCGUGUUCAUCUCUACAGUUGUUUGGGAGGAAAUGAUACACGUAUUUGAGAUAUUCCGCCGUUAAUAUCGUCUUUAGGACCCAGCAGAGACAUCAAACCGGAGUCGCGUCCAGUCUUGUUGAAGGUAUGUUAUGUUGUCUAAAAACACUGUCCUUUCGCUAGGAAACUAUAUUGUAACAAUUAAAUACUAAUAUAGACACAUAUAUGUGCUACAUUUUGUUCAGGAAGUUGCUAGUUUUCCCAAGAAGUACGGAAUCUGAGCAUUAUAUUAUUAUUGGUUAUUAAUCGCCGCUAGAGGGCGCUGAAUGGAUCGCAACGUGAGAAAGUUAUCCUGGACGAGCAGAGCAGAAGCUUGCUACAUCAUCUUUUAUCAGAAGAGGAUUCAUGAUCCAUUUCAAGGUUGCUCUGGACAGAGCGAGCUUUAAUCCUCCUUGAUAAUCUUGUUGAGAGAUUGCUCAGGACAGGUAUUUUAUACCCACACACCAAAGAAACUUUUUGAGGUUUGGGGAGAUGCAUCACUGCGGAUUCUCUCGUAUUGCAAAAAAGAAGAGAGCCUUGGAUAUACCAGUUCAAGCAAACAUUUCAUCUGACAGCCUUGGAGAUCCCACUUUGGAGAUGUCGCUUUAACAACUCAGCCAGCUAUCAUUUCUUCACUGCCAUACAGAUUGUGCAGCAAGAUGGUUCGGCCCUCAUACCAGGAUGAAAAACAAGAAUUUGUUGAUUUGCGACUUAUAGGUGCAUUAUUUAUGACAAUAAAUGCUGGACAUUAUUUAA